GAUGAACGCUGGCGGCGUGCCUAAUACAUGCAAGUCGAGCGAACAGACGAGGAGCUUGCUCCUCUGACGUUAGCGGCGGACGGGUGAGUAACACGUGGAUAACCUACCUAUAAGACUGGGAUAACUUCGGGAAACCGGAGCUAAUACCGGAUAAUAUAUUGAACCGCAUGGUUCAAUAGUGAAAGACGGUUUUGCUGUCACUUAUAGAUGUAUCCGCGCCGCAUUAGCUAGUUGGUAAGGUAACGGCUUACCAAGGCAACGAUGCGUAGCCGACCUGAGAGGGGGAUCGGCCACACUGGAACUGAGACACGGUCCAGACUCCUACGGGAGGCAGCAGUAGGGAAUCUUCCGCAAUGGGCGAAAGCUUGACGGAGCAACGCCGCGUGAGUGAUGAAGGUCUUCGGAUCGUAAAACUCUGUUAUUAGGGAAGAACAAAUGUGUAAGUAACUAUGCACGUCUUGACGGUACCUAAUCAGAAAGCCACGGCUAACUACGU
rnacentral:rRNA from 1 species